rnacentral:sRNA from 1 species
UCAUGAAUGAUAACAUUAUGUGGAAAGGU